CGAACAGCUCAGUAACUCUUAUUUUAUUUGAUGUAUUAGGAUUAUAACUAUGUUAAAUUAUAGAUAACAAUAAUACAAUAAGAAUAAGAUCUAUCAGUUAGUUGUUAAGGUAAUGGCUUAACAAGACUAUGACGGAUAACGGUAUUACUUUGUAAUAUUCCGGAGAAGGAGCCUGAGAGAUUGCUACUAAGUCUAAGGAUUGCAGCAGGGGCGAAACUUGACCUAUGAUAUGAUAUUGAGGCAGUUAUGAGUAGUAUUUUUAAUUAUUGUAGUAUUGUAAGUAUAUACUACAAGAUAAAUCGGAGGGCAAAUCGAGUGCCAGCAGCCGCGGUAAUACUUGUUCCGAUAGUGUGUAUGAUGAUUGAUGCAGUUAAAAAGUCUGUAGUUUAUUAUUAAUAAGCAUUGUGAGGUAUAUUGUAUGGUUAGGAGAGAGAUGAAAUGUGAUAACCCUAACUGGAUGAACAGAAGCGAAAGCUAUAUACUUAAAUGUUUUAUUAGAACAAGGACGUAAGCUAGAGGAUCGAAGAUGAUUAGAUACCAUUGUAGUUCUAGCAGUAAACUAUGUUAAAUCAUAGAUACAUUAUUAAUAUGUAUUUAUGUAAAGAAAUUAAGAUUAUAUUGACUCUGGGGAUAGUAUGAUCGCAAGAUUGAAAAUUAAAGAAAUUGACGGAAGAAUACCACAAGGAGUGGA
rnacentral:rRNA from 1 species